GAUGAACGCUAGCGGCAGGCUUAACACAUGCAAGUCGAGGGGCAGCAUUUAAGUUAGCAAUAACUUAAGAUGGCGACCGGCGCAAGGGUGCGUAACGCGUGAGUAACAUGCCCGUAUCAGGAGGAUAACCCGGAGAAAUCCGGACUAAUACUGCAUAAUAUUUUCUGGAGGCAUCUUUAGGAAAUUAAAGUUUCGACGGAUACGGAUUGGCUCGCGUAACAUUAGCUAGAUGGAGAGGUAACGGCUCCCAUGGCGACGAUGUCUAGGGGUUCUGAGAGGAAGGUCCCCCANACUGGAACUGAGACACGGUCCAGACUCCUACGGGAGGCAGCAGUGAGGAAUAUUGGUCAAUGGUCUGACGACUGAACCAGCCAUGCCGCGUGAAGGUCACGGCCCUAUGGGUCGUAAACUUCUUUUGUCAGGGAAUAAAGUCGCCUACGUGUAGGCGUUUGCAGGUACCUGAAGAUAAGCAUCGGCUAACUCCGUGCCAGCAGCCG
rnacentral:rRNA from 1 species